AGCGACGCCGCGUGAGCCAUGAAGGCCUUCGGGUUGUAAAGCUCUUUAGGGGGGGAGAAAAGCCCGCAAGGGUGUGAUCUAUCCCCAAAAUAAGCACGGGCUAAGUUCGUGCCAGCAGCCGCGGUAAGACGAACCGUGCGAAUGUUGUUCGGAAUCACUGGGCUUAAAGGGAGCGUAGGCGGGCUGUCAAGUCUGGGGUGAAAUGCCGCGGCUCAACCGUGGAACUGCCUCAGAUACUGACGGCCUCGAGGGAGAUAGGGGCAUGCGGAACUGUAGGUGGAGCGGUGAAAUGCGUUGAUAUCUACAGGAACUCCGGGGGCGAAAGCGGCGUGCUGGAUCUUUUCUGACGCUGAGGCUCGAAAGCUAGGGGAGCAAACGGGAUUAGAUACCCCGGUAGUCCUAGCCCUAAACGAUGGGUACUAGAUAGUAGGCUAGAUAUGAGUUUACUGUCG
rnacentral:rRNA from 1 species